UACGAAGGGGCCUAGCGUUGCUCGGAAUGACUGGGCGUAAAGGGCGCGUAGGCGGUUUGGUCAGUUAGACGUGAAAUUCCUGGGCUCAACCUGGGGACUGCGUUUAAGACGGCCAGGCUUGAGUGUGAAAGAGGGUCGUGGAAUUCCCAGUGUAGAGGUGAAAUUCGUAGAUAUUGGGAAGAACACCGGUGGCGAAGGCGGCGACCUGGUUCAUUACUGACGCUGAGGCGCGAAAGCGUGGGGAGCAAACAGG
rnacentral:rRNA from 1 species